AGUGGGGAAUAUUGGACAAUGGGCGCAAGCCUGAUCCAGCCAUGCCGCGUGGGUGAAGAAGGCCUUCGGGUUGUAAAGCCCUUUUGUUGGGAAAGAAAUCCUGCCGGUUAAUAACCAGUAGGGAUGACGGUACCCAAAGAAUAAGCACCGGCUAACUUCGUGCCAGCAGCCGCGGUAAUACGAAGGGUGCAAGCGUUACUCGGAAUUACUGGGCGUAAAGCGUGCGUAGGUGGUUGUUUAAGUCUGUCGUGAAAGCCCUGGGCUCAACCUGGGAAUUGCGAUGGAUACUGGGCGACUAGAGUGUAGUAGAGGAUAGUGGAAUUUCCGGUGUAGCAGUGAAAUGCGUAGAGAUCGGAAGGAACAUCUGUGGCGAAGGCGACUAUCUGGGCCAACACUGACACUGAGGCACGAAAGCGUGGGGAGCAAACAGGAUUAGAUACCCUGGUAGUCCACGCCCUAAACGAUGCGAACUGGAUGUUGGGCACAACUUGGCGCCCAGUAUCGAAGCUAACGCGUUAAGUUCGCCGCCUGGGGAGUACGGUCGCAAGACUGAAACUCAAAGGAAUUGACGGAAGC
rnacentral:rRNA from 1 species